GACGAACGCUGGCGGCGUGCCUAAUACAUGCAAGUAGAACGCUGAAACUUGGUGCUUGCACCGAGCGGAUGAGUUGCGAACGGGUGAGUAACGCGUAGGUAACCUGCCUGGUAGCGGGGGAUAACUAUUGGAAACGAUAGCUAAUACCGCAUAAGAGUAGAUGUUGCAUGACAUUUGCUUAAAAGGUGCAAUUGCACCACUACCAGAUGGACCUGCGUUGUAUUAGCUAGUUGGUGGGGUAACGGCUCACCAAGGCGACGAUACAUAGCCGACCUGAGAGGGUGAUCGGCCACACUGGGACUGAGACACGGCCCAGACUCCUACGGGAGGCAGCAGUAGGGAAUCUUCGGCAAUGGACGGAAGUCUGACCGAGCAACGCCGCGUGAGUGAAGAAGGUUUUCGGAUCGUAAAGCUCUGUUGUAAGAGAAGAACGAGUGUGGGAGUGGAAAGUUCACACUGUGACGGUAUCUUACCAGAAAGGGACGGCUAACUACGUG
rnacentral:rRNA from 1 species